AUUUAGUGAUUGCUGCGGGAAGGAUCUGUUGUUCCUGCAGUGAAGAAGCACUGCUGAUGUGUGACAUUCACAGAAAUCCCACAGGAAACAGACAGGAAGAAGCAAGUCCCAUCUCCCUCCUCCAGCCUUGCAGCUGCCUGACUGUGCUUAUGAGCAGAGCCUUACCUUGAGGCAACAAGUAAAGCAGAGACGUGGAGUGAAGAACCCCAGCUCUAACCUCAGACAGCAGAGAAUAGAAGUCUCGUCAUCUCAGUGUUGGGCUUUCCAGGCAGUGGGCAAAAACGAACCUGGUGCAUUAACAACUGUGUACAUUCUGAAGUUAAAGGAUCAUCCCAGCUAACGUAUCUAGAAAAUAUCUGAAUUGGGUAGAUUCCACUUGUGAAGAUUCAAAUGCCUAAAAUUAACAUAAUCAGAUUAGCCCUGAGCUAACAUCUGCUGCCAAUCCUUCUCUCAUUGCUGAGGAAGAUUGGUCCUGAGCUAACAUCUGUGCCAAUCUUCCUCUACUUUAUAUGUGGGACGCUGCCUCAGCAUGUCUUGAUGAGUGGUGCCAAGUCUGCACCUUGGAUCCAAACCUGCAAAUCCUGGGCUGCCAAACUGGAGCACACUAACUUAACCACUAUGCCACCGGGCCAGCCCAUCUUUACCUCUCUUGAAAUGAUGUUAAAGCAGUUGUUUUUACCUCUUUAGGAAUGUAAUUAUUACAUAUGAAAAAGGCCAACAUCUUUUAUAUGAAGGAAAAAUUAGUGGUAAAGAUGAAAGGCUGUAUGAGUUUUCCAAGGAUGUCUGGAAAUAAUGCACAGAAUCAGUGUGCCAUUGUUUACCUGAGACUUCAUUAACGAGCACAGAUGGCACCUCCUCUCAGAAGACUUCCUAUUAAACAGAAUUCCUCAGCUGUGAUCUGAAAGCUUUUUCAUUUGUGUCUCCUUCAAUGGUGAAUGAUCUCAACCUAUCUGAAAUUGGUGUGAGAUGAGUCAAGACACAUUUAUUGUUCUAUAUGGACGUCCAAUCGACCUAGAAGCACUUACUGAAAAGGCUAUCCUUUCCUACUACACUUUUGUG
rnacentral:lncRNA from 1 species